UGGGCGCAAGCCUGAUCCAGCCAUACCGCGUGGGUGAAGAAGGCCUUCGGGUUGUAAAGCCCUUUUGUUGGGAAAGAAAUCCAGCCGGCUAAUACCUGGUUGGGAUGACGGUACCCAAAGAAUAAGCACCGGCUAACUUCGUGCCAGCAGCCGCGGUAAUACGAAGGGUGCAAGCGUUACUCGGAAUUACUGGGCGUAAAGCGUGCGUAGGUGGUUAUUUAAGUCCGUUGUGAAAGCCCUGGGCUCAACCUGGGAACUGCAGUGGAUACUGGAUGACUAGAAUGUGGUAGAGGGUAGCGGAAUUCCUGGUGUAGCAGUGAAAUGCGUAGAGAUCAGGAGGAACAUCCAUGGCGAAGGCAGCUACCUGGACCAACAUUGACACUGAGGCACGAAAGCGUGGGGAGCAAACAGGAUUAGAUACCCUGGUAGUCCACGCCCUAAACGAUGCGAACUGGAUGUUGGGUGCAAUUUGGCACGCAGUAUCGAAGCUAACGCGUAAGUCGCCGCGAGGGAUACG
rnacentral:rRNA from 1 species